GCCGUGGUGGCGGAACUGGUAGACGCGCUGGACUUAAAAUCCAGUGAGCUUUGCUCGUGAGAGUUCGAGUCUCUCCCGCGGCACCA
rnacentral:tRNA from 1 species